rnacentral:rRNA from 1 species
GAUGAACGCUGGCGGCGUGCCUAAUACAUGCAAGUCGAGCGAACAGAUGAGGAGCUUGCUCCUCUGACGUUAGCGGCGGACGGGUGAGUAACACGUGGAUAACCUACCUAUAAGACUGGGAUAACUUCGGGAAACCGGAGCUAAUACCGGAUAAUAUAUUGAACCGCAUGGUUCAAUAGUGAAAGACGGUUUUGCUGUCACUUAUAGAUGGAUCCGCGCCGCAUUAGCUAGUUGGUAAGGUAACGGCUUACCAAGGCAACGAUGCGUAGCCGACCUGAGAGGGUGAACGGCAACACUGGAACUGAGAGACGGUCCAGACUCCGACGGGAGGCAGCAGUAGGGAAGCUUCCGAAAUGGGCGAAAGCCUGACGGAGCAACGCCGCGUGAGUGAUGAAGGGCUGCGGAUCGUAAAACGCUGUUAGUAGGGAAGAACAAAUGUGUAAGUAACGAUGCACGUCUUGACGGUACCUAAUCAGAAAGCCACGGCUAACUACGUG